rnacentral:rRNA from 1 species
UGAGAUGAGCCUUAAAAACCUCUUUAAACACAAAGGUUUGGUCCUAACCUUAAAAUCAAUUCUUACUUAAUUUACACAUGCAAGUCUCUGCAUCCCCGUGAAAACGCCCUUAAACCCCUUCAGGGAUAAGGAGCUGGUAUCAGGCACAACAAAUCGCCCAAAACACCUAGCUAUGCCACGCCCACAAGGGUCAACAGCAGUGAUCAAUAUUAAACAUAAACGGCAGUUUGAUUUAGUUAAAGUAAACAGAGCCGGCAAAACUGGUGCCAGCCGCCGCGGUUACACCAUGAGACUCAAAUUGAUUUGUACCGGCGUAAAGCGUGAUUAAAGCCUCAAAAUUUUUAGGGCUGAAACUGGGCUAAGCCGUGACAUGCUUGCCCACUAAAAACUCACACAACGAAAGUUGCCCUAAUUUGACCAACUUGAACUCACGAUAGCUAGGACCCAAACUGGGAUUAGAUACCCCAUUAUGCCUAGCCCUAAACUUUUACUUACACCCGCCCACACGCCAGGGAACUACGAGCAGCGCUUAAAACCCAAAGGACUUGACGGUACCCCACAUCCACCUAGAGGAGCCUGUCCUGUAAUUGAUAACCCCCGCUAAACCUUACCACUCUUAGUUUAUCAGCUUGUAUACUUCCGUCUUCAGCUUACCCCGUGAGCGUAACUCAGUAAACUUAAUGCCUACUCCGCCAAUACGUCAGGUCAAAGUGCAGCUAAUACAGUGGAAAGAGAUGGGCUACACUCUCUAACCUAGAGGAUACGAAAGACUAUGCUGAAAUCAUACCAGAAGGNGGAUUUAGAAGUAAAAAGGAAGC